AGUCAGGAUUAAUUCGCCCCUGCCGCGCGUCCUCGCGGCGCCCCCUCGCUCCGGAUCUCGCCCUCGCCGCAGUGGCCGGCGGCGUGGAUCCGCUUCCUCCCUGGCCCGGCUCGGGUCCAUGGCAUCCAUGGCCGGCGAGGUCCUCCUCUCUCACCUCCGCCCGGCCGCCGGCGCCCGCGUCCUCCUCCAUCCUUCGGCGCCCGUCCUCCUCCGUGCACGGAUCUGGGCGCCAGCGCUACUGUUGUCUUUGGAGGCUGGGGUCGUGGUACCCAUUCAUGCUACGGUACCCUAGGAUGGCUGUGGUCGCCGGCAAAACAGGAGAAGGAGGAAGAAGCGUGUGCAACCUGGAGGCUGCGAAGGGGGCGGCGGAGGUGAGGGAGAAUGUGACGGUGUUUGGCGGUGAUCGAGCUGACAUGCGUCGCGUGUGCGGGUUCGGUGGAGAAGGCCAUGAAGUGUCUCCCAGGUCGAUCUGUGUGCUGCCGUCAUCGACAUCCUUGGUCUUCUACGCCUUCGUCGGUGAGUAUCGAUCCCCCAUUGAGCUAUUUCCAUAUGACACUACAGAUGAUGGCUGAUGCUUUUUUCUGAUUGAUCAUCGCCGAUGUUGUUUUCUACCGAUUCAAUCCAUUGAGCUCCUUGCCAAUCGAUUCAAUCCAUGGUUCGGCGUGGUCGAGGCUGUCGACUUCGGCGCCCACGCGGGCACGCACCGGCGGCUCGGCGUUGAGGACCACAUCAUCUUCCAUCCCUCCCUUCCCCUAUCCCCUUCGGCCAUCCGCAUCGCGCCGCCCUCCGAAUCCUCGCUUCCUUCCUCGGCGGAGGGCGAGCAUCCGAGCCAUCGAUAGGGGCUGAAGCGGAGCAGCAGAUGUAGUGGACGCGAGUUCCCCGUUCGCAUCGCCUGCCAUCCUGAUCCAUGCUGCCCCGGACUGCGAGUAGGGGUCUGAGCGGCGGCGGGCCGGAGUUCGAUCCUACAGGAGCUCCUGCAGAUGGAUCGAAGUCCUACAGGGCGUGUGACGAUGCUCUUCGUGCAGUAUUCCCGGCCAACAUCCGCUUGAUGAAAUGCGAUAACUUGAAGGCUCUUGCUGAUCCCUGCAUCGACUGUGAACUCAUGAUCAUCUUGAUUGAUCUGAUCCUGCAGAAGACAAGGGUGUACCACCAUAUUCUGUUUAAUAAGCUUAGCAUGUGGGAUUAUCUGUUGACAAGGUAUGAAUCUAUGAUGUCCAGACAGAUUAACAUUCCAUCCUCACUGGUGUUCUUAUUGGCAUUUGAGGCAAUUAGUUUGCUAAAUAUGUAAUUGGUACUGCUGAGCUACCAUUUCAUUGUUUGCAUAUGGUCAUGUAAUAGUUAUAAUGCACCUUUUUCUGUACGCCGGUGCAUAUACUAGAGUAACAUGGUUCCUGGAUAAUGUGGAAAAGAAUCUGGCCAUUAUAUAUAUGUUUAUAUCUAGGAUAUAUUUAUUCUGACUUUAUUUUCUGGAUAAUCCUCUCUUUGUUUUCUGACUUAGUGGGCAUUGCUCUGUAGUAUGUUGUUCAAGUAAGAAAGGAAUAUAAUUCACAAGGUGAAGAAUUCUAUCACAAUGUACCCAUUCAAUUGCCCAAUGCCCAUGUCAUCUGUUUGUUGUCUUCUCAGGUUAGUGGAUAUGCCUGUAAGACAACUAGCAUCAAAGAUGGUGUAAAUCAGUUUGAUCUCCAGCAGAGGAAGUAGUAGCUUGUUUUCAGGAAUUGGUUCAGUUUUCAGAAGUCCAACAGUGGCAGCGGCAGCGGCUGCAGCUCUGGGACCUAUUGGCUUUCAGGUUAUGUACCAUUAUGAUUUCAUCAAAAGCUUGGCUGUCCCUUUCUGAUUUUUAGGAGCAAGCCCACCAUAGCAUGGAUAGUCAAAUAUCAGCUUGUGCAGGUAAGCUGCAUAAGACCAACGAGGUUUCAAGUGUCAGGUAUGUGGAAUUUCACUUUCCUGAAACAAUGUGGUAGUCUUUGCUUGCCUGUUAUUUUUCUAAGUAAUUCCAUGAUUGAUCUUUUGAUGAAUAAUUACUUUAAUUAGGAAAGAACUUUUGAUCUUUCCUGUAACAUUUCGAUUUUCAAUAGCAUAGCACUUUCAAGCUUUUAAUUGUUGCUUCUAUAAAAUAGGUGAUGCGAGUCCUCUAGCAAAUCAAGGCUUGGAGGAAAGUCGUUCCUUUUCAGGCAUACUUAAUAGUUCUUUCUUGUCUUUGCAUAAUGACAAUUUUCAGUAAUGAACCUUGGUCAAUUAGUUCAAUACUGGUCUAUGUUUUUAAAGCGGUAAGGCGAGGCGAGGCGAUCCACCACCGCCUUAUCGCCUAGGCGACGCCUAGGCGGGCUAAGGUGGGCUAAGGUGAGACCUUAAGCAAGGUGAGCCGCCACCGCCUUGUCGCCUAGGCGACGCCUUGAAAACAGAGAUACUGGUGGACUCAAACUGUUUGACAAAUUUUAAAAAUGAUAUCGAUAAUGCCCACCCCAUUCGUUUUAUCUUUCCAAUGCUUAUUUCCUGAUUCCCAAAUCCUCAUCCCAUUUGAAAAUAUGUAUUUAUGAGUUUACUAGGUUUAAAGAGCUUCUCACACUGGUUUUUCUGUCAGCUCCUCUGAAAUCUGAAUUGCAUGUUUCCUCCUGAAAAAUACCUCCCAAUACCAGCAUGGUAAAAGAUUGAAAUUUUUCUAACUUGAAAUUCGUUUAUAACAUUUCAUAUCGUGCAGAUUUUCUGAAAAUUGGAACUCAACUUCUGCAUACAAAAUGCAGCUAAUUAUAUCAGUGAGGUGAAGCUGUACCUAACUUGAUUUCUUGGUGCUGAGAUGGCUCCUAGCCUGCUAAUGAGGAUGUUAAACUCUUGGUUGAAGACAUUGGCGAGCUCAAACCAACAGUAUUCUGUGCUGUUCCACAUGUUCUGGACAGGAAUUAUUGAGCUGGGGCCUCUGAGCUGCACAGAGAAGGGCUUUUACCCGUUGAUCGAUCAAUCCUGGAAUGUACAUUAAGGAUGGAAUAAUCUAAGGUAUACAACUUUUCUUGAAAAGAUUGAAAUAAUUCUAUGGUUUUGCAUGUUGUUUUGCCUUUUCUUUUACUGCAAUAAUGUUGUGUGCCUUUUCCUCAAGGAUUGCAAAAGAAAAAGGAUUAUUUCCCUGAUCAUUGUCUUUUGAUGCUCACUGCCUUGUAAUGAAAAUUCCCAAUGUCCCUUUUUAUCUACCACCAGAAGCAUUAGAGAAUUAUCUUUUGCAUAUGUUAAGAUUUUUGUUGAUCUAUAGUGAUGCUCCAAGGUUUCAAUCUAGAGGAUAUCAUCAUCAUUAUUGAUAUAUUUGAUCACCCUACAGCUUUGCCUUUGCACCAUCUCUCUAUGUGCACAAGCAAGACAAAGCUUUAGGAGCAGAUCAAGGUGCGUUCCGUUUUUUCUUCUCUUGAGACAAAGGCCCCAAUGGCUAUUUGUCAUGCCCAUUCAUAGCAUUACUUGCUUAACCUUGAAAGUAGCCAAGUUAAUCUAGCAAAAUGCACUAAUUUCUGGUGCUUGGCCCAUGCUGAGUAUACUCCUAAGAUCCACCACUGAUGCAGUCCAUAUAGAUGACUGGUUCAAUAUUAUGUUCUGACAGAUCUGGAUUGUAAUAGUUUGAUAACCAAUUUAGUUUCAGACUUAUUUGUGUAACCAGCUAAACAUGGAAUUUAGCAUUUUUACUAAUAAAUAGUGGUAGCACUACCAUCCUAAAUCUAUAGGGAUAGCCAUUUCAUAUUAAAUAGCAUGCACUUUUUUCCAAACCAAAUCUCAUGAUGUCACUGACUGUUGCUUCUCAAACAGUUAGAACAACUCGUGCAGUGUUACCUUACAGAGGUGAUGUUUAUACAUAUUCCCCCAUUAGUCGUCUUGGUUCAUGAUGGUUGGAUUGGCUGCUUGUUCAGACAGAGGUAAUGCUGAUAUUUCACACACAAAUAUAUGGUGGCUUUGGCAUGAGUUAUUCUAAUGAUUAAGCUCAUAUUGCCUCAAGCAUAGGAAUUUGUUGGUUUAAUCUACCACUUGAUACUCUUUGACUACUUUUUGAAUGGCAAAAUUCAGUGCCUUCAGGUAUUAAUAAGUUUAGCAUCUUUGAAAUUUCUUGCUUUGUCAAAUUUUGUAAAUUGUUCAUGACAUUCCUUUGAGUUGCUAACUUUCUCAUUCUUUCACAUGAAACAAAGAUAUGCCACUAUGAGUAUCUUAUUGGGUGCUUGAGCUGGAUUGUCCAUUGUUCUCUCUUAUUGGUUAAGCCAACCACGUACAAAUUGGCUCGUGUGCUGGCUCGAUCGGGCGAGCAAUCGGCUUAUUUGGUCUUCCGGUGUUGUAUCCCUUGAUGCUUCCAGGAAAUUGGAUACUCUGAUUUUUGAGUGAAUGAAUAGAGCCAAACUUGACCUAAAAAAAAAUAUCGCCCUAAGUGGGUUCACAUGUCUAGGCAAAAUGAAAGUCGAUCUAAGUGAUUCAUAAAUGAAACCUUUUGCGCUCUCCUCGUUUGGUAGCGAUUGUAGCAUUCCUGGCUGAGUUGCGAAACAAGGUUUUUAUAUAAUUUGAUGUUUAAUGAAUUUCUUGUGAGAAUAUGUAAUUUAUUUUAAAACACGUGCGUGCGCAUGUGCGCUCUACUAACUUAUACAUACCAUUUACCUUUUUUAUAAUUAUACACUUUUUCAUAUUUUGGAUAUUUUUGUCUAUUUUCAUCACAGUUGAGACCUUGUUGCUUGAUUUCACCAUAUAUAGUUUUUUAAAAAUGUUUGUUGCAACAAAAAUUUGGUGUGGUUAUUCACAAUGCCUAUGACAUGUUCGAUCAAUUGGCGGGCUACAUUCAUGAAGCCUAAAUCUGUUGCCUGGGUGCAUGGUGCCUUCCGGACAGGUACCUGAACUGAUCCCUAAAUUCGAAUGGCCUCCAUGUUAGCCAUAACUAAGAAGUGCAUUAUUAUGUCAUAAUCAUUAUCAUUAGGGAAAGCAUCUGCUUUGAAUUCUUGAACUCCGCAGGGUGAUACAAAGGAACAAGCAUUACUCCUGGUAUGAUCGUUUGAAGCAUUGAGUUUUGUAUUUGCAUUAUUCAAUUCAGAGCCCAUGCGUGAGGGGAGGUAGGGGAGCAGGACAGGCGCCUGGCGAAGGCAUGGGGCGGAACGACAUGAGGAAGACGAAGCGCGCGGGGAAGAGGAAGAGAGAAGGCGCAGGCGUUGGGUGUAACGAUACUAUCGGCGGCGGCUCGUGUUAAUUUGUGUGGACGCAGCUCUCCGCAUAGUCUAACGCGGGAGUGCUCUGUGCUUAGUGGCAUUCCAAUUAUGAUCAUACCAACUUAUAGCACGCGUGUGCUGUGCGGGCAUUGUUACUAUUAAGCCAAAUAACUCUUGCGCCAUCUGCCAGAUUGCAACACAAAUAAAUGGACAUAUGCACGUGCGGACUUCAAAUUCUA